rnacentral:rRNA from 1 species
UCGACGGAGAGUUUGAUCCUGGCUCAGGACGAACGCUGGCGGCGUGCCUAACACAUGCAAGUCGAACGAGAUCCAUCCGGUGGCAACACCGGUGAAGAUCUAGUGGCGAACGGGUGAGUAACACGUGAGCAACCUAUCCCGAAGACCGGGAUAACACCGGGAAACCGGUGCUAAUACCGGAUACCCCCACCGGGUCGCAUGGCCUGGUGAGGAAAUGGAUUCCGCUUCGGGAGGGGCUCGCGGCCUAUCAGCUAGAUGGUGGGGUAACGGCCUACCAUGGCAUCGACGGGUAGCUGGUCUGAGAGGACGAUCAGCCACACUGGGACUGAGACACGGCCCAGACUCCUACGGGAGGCAGCAGUGGGGAAUCUUGCGCAAUGGGCGAAAGCCUGACGCAGCAACGCCGCGU